GCAGGCUGCAACCCGCCUGCGUGAAGUUGGAAUCGCUAGUAAUCGCGGAUCAGCAUGCCGCGGUGAAUACGUUCCCGGGCCUUGUACACACCGCCCGUCACACCAUGAGAGUCGGGAACACCCGAAGUCCGUAGCCUAACUUUAACGAGGGGGCGCGGCCGAAGGUGGGUUCGAUAAUUGGGGUGAAGUCGUAACAAGGUAGC
rnacentral:rRNA from 1 species